rnacentral:rRNA from 1 species
UACAGAGGGGGCAAGCGUUGUCCGGAUUUACUGGGCGUACAGCGCGCGCAGGCGGAACUGGACGUGCCGUGUGACAAGCCACCGCUCACCGGUGGAGGGCCACGGUACACGACAGCUCUGGAGGCAGGGAGAGGGAUGUGGAAUGCCCGGUGGAGCGGUGAAAUGCGUAGAUAUCGAGAGGAACACCUGCGGCGAAGGCGGGUAGCUGGGCCGACACUGACGCUGAUGCGCGAAAGCCAGGGGAGCGAACGGG